CAGCCGCCGCGGGAAUACGUAGGUGGCAAGCGUUGUCCGGAUUUAUUGGGCGUAAAGCGAGCGCAGGCGGUUCCUUAAGUCUGAUGUGAAAGCCCCCGGCUCAACCGGGGAGGGUCAUUGGAAACUGGGGAACUUGAGUGCAGAAGAGGAGAGUGGAGUUCCAUGUGUAGCGGUGAAAUGCGUAGAUAUAUGGAGGAACACCAGUGGCGAAGGCGACUCUCUGGUCUGUAACUGACGCUGAGGCUCGAAAGCGUGGGUAGCAAACAGGAUUAGAUACCCGGGUAGUCCCUGUCUCUUAUAC
rnacentral:rRNA from 1 species